rnacentral:rRNA from 1 species
UACGUAGGUGGCAAGCGUUGUCCGGAUUUAUUGGGUUUAAAGGGUGCGUAGGCGGCCCUGUAAGUCAGUGCUGAAAUAUCCCAGCUUAACUGGGAGGGUGGCAUUGAUACUGCGGGGCUAGAGUACAGAUGAGGUAGGCGGAAUUGACGGUGUAGCGGUGAAAUGCUUAGAUAUCGUCAAGAACACCUAUAGCGAAGGCAGCUUACUACCCGAAUAUUGACACUGAGGCACGAAAGCGUGGGGAUCAAACAGGAUUAGAUACCCGUAGUAUCAGUCCAGACCAUCU